UACGUAGGUGGCAAGCGUUGUCCGGAAUUAUUGGGCGUAAAGCGCGCGCAGGCGGUCCUUUAAGUCUGAUGUGAAAGCCCACGGCUCAACCGUGGAGGGUCAUUGGAAACUGGGGGACUUGAGUGCAGGAGAGAAGAGUGGAAUUCCACGUGUAGCGGUGAAAUGCGUAGAGAUGUGGAGGAACACCAGUGGCGAAGGCGGGUUGCUGGGCUGAUACUGACGCUGAGACGCGAAAGCUAGGGGAGCAAACGGG
rnacentral:rRNA from 1 species